rnacentral:misc_RNA from 1 species
UACACCAAUUGAACCACUAACCCACUAGUUGAACCAGUUACUGAUGACUCGAUCCCUCAGCUAGGCCAAGGCUUAGGCUGGGUUUAAUAACCAAUUCAUACAAUUUGAACUAAAAGCUAAAUUCAAAUCCUUAGAUCUCAAAUUUGGUAUCCGAUUUGAUUAGGUUGUGUUUGGGUUGAAAUUUUGAGUUAAAAGGAUUUGAUUUCAUGUUUUAAUUAAAAUUGCAUAAAUAGAGAUUUGAACUUGUACAGGAGCAUAAAAAUAUGCUUCAACAAAAUUUUAGAGGGUGUAUUCCAACUCUACUAUUUUAGUAAGUACUUCAAAUUCAUUUUCAAACAAAUGCUCGUCCACAUUAAUGAAUCUGAUCUCCAUUUCUGGGAACAUCCAACCACCAUUUAUGAAUCUACCAAAUCAAAGAAAACUUGUGCAAAGUUCUUCCAAAUCCUUUCUCUUCAAAUCUUCACCUAUCCAAAAUGCAAUUUUAGUCUACUUUUAUUCAACUGAUUAUGCAAUUCAAUUCAUAUGUUUAAUAACAAUAUAUUUUAUGAUGACACAUUCAAUUAAAUUUACCGGAUGAAGGGAAGAACAAAAAG